rnacentral:rRNA from 1 species
CUGGCUCAGGACGAACGCUGGCGGCAGGCCUAACACAUGCAAGUCGAGCGGCAGCGGGAAAGUAGCUUGCUACUUUUGCCGGCGAGCGGCGGACGGGUGAGUAAUGCCUGGGAAAUUGCCCAGUCGAGGGGGAUAACAGUUGGAAACGACUGCUAAUACCGCAUACGCCCUACGGGGGAAGCAGGGGACCUUCGGGCCUUGCGCGAUUGGAUAUGCCCAGGUGGGAUUAGCUAGUUGGUGAGGUAAUGGCUCACCAAGGCGACGAUCCCUAGCUGGUCUGAGAGGAUGAUCAGCCACACUGGAACUGAGACACGGUCCAGACUCCUACGGGAGGCAGCAGUAGG